rnacentral:rRNA from 1 species
GAUGAACGCUAGCGGCAGGCCUAACACAUGCAAGUCGAGGGAGGAGCUUUCGGGCUUCGACCGGCGUACGGGUGCGUACCGCGUAUACAAUCUGCCUUUCACAUAGGGAUAGCCCGAAGAAAUUUGGAUUAAUACCUAAUGGUAUAUAGGAGUGGCUUCACAUUUAUAUUAAAGCUGAGGCGGUGAAAGAUGAGUAUGCGUUAGAUUAGCUAGUUGGAGAGGUAACGGCUCCCCAAGGCGACGAUAGAUAGGGGUUCUGAGAGGGGUAUCCCCCACACUGGUACUGGGAUACUGACCAGACUGCUACGGGAGGCAGCAGUGAGGAAGAUUGGACAAGGGUCGGAAGACUGAUCCAGCCAUGCCGCGUGCAGGAAGACGGCCUUAGGGGUUGUAAACUGCUUUUGCAGGGGAAGAAUAAGGACUACGAGUAGUUUGAUGACGGUACUCUGCGAAUAAGCAUCGGCUAACUCCGUG